UACGUAGGUGGCGAGCGUUGUCCGGAAUUACUGGGUGUAAAGGGCGUGUAGGCGGUUAUAUAAGUCGGAUGUGAAAGCCCGCGGCUUAACUGCGGGAUUGCAUCCGAAACUAUGUAUCUUGAGUGCUGGAGAGGAAAGCGGAAUUCCCAGUGUAGCGGUGAAAUGCGUAGAUAUUGGGAGGAACACCAGUGGCGAAGGCGGCUUUCUGGACAGCAACUGACGCUGAGGCGCGAAAGCGUGGGGAGCAAACAGG
rnacentral:rRNA from 1 species